CAGCCGCCGCGGUAAUACCGGCGGCCCGAGUGGCGGCCACUAUUAUUGGGCCUAAAGCGUCCGUAGCCGGGCUGGGAAGUCCUCCGGGAAAUCUGGUCGCUUAACGAUCAGACUUCCGGAGGAUACUGCUGGCCUAGGGACCGGGAGAGGCCGAGGGGAUUCCCGGGGUAGGGGUGAAAUCCUGUAAUCCCGGGAGGACCACCUGUGGCGAAGGCGCUCGGCUGGAACGGGUCCGACGGUGAGGGACGAAGGCCAGGGGAGCGAACCGGAUUAGAUACCCGGGUAGUCCUGGCUGUAAACGAUGCGGACUAGGUGUCGGGCAAGCUAAGGGCUUGUCCGGUGCCGCAGGGAAGCCGUUAAGUCCGCCGCCUGGGGAGUACGGCCGCAAGGCUGAAACUUAAAGGAAUUGGCGGG
rnacentral:rRNA from 1 species